UCUGUCUCAAAAAACAACAACAAAAAAAAACAAAAACAAAAACAACAACGAAAAACACACCUUAUUUUAUCCUGAGAUGGAGAAAAAUCAGCCUCUGGGAGGGGCUAAAUUAUCAAAGGCAAUGCCAUGUAGCAGCAGUAAGUUAACUAGCAGAUCUUGGAGAGAUGAGAGCCCCUUUGAACUUGCUGGGAAGUUUAACAGCGAGAGUGGAGAUUCCUGGGAGAAGAUCUGUUACCAAAAGACGAUAAAGAACUAGGGAAGCCAGAUGCUGUGUUGUGAGGACAGUCAGGCAGCCCCAUGGAGAGGCCCAUGUGGCAAGGCAUUGAGGACUUCUGCCAACAGCCAUAUGAAUGACCAUCUUGGAAGUAGGUGCUCCAGCCCUGGAUAAACCUUCAGAUGACUGCAGCCCCUGCUCAGAGCUUGACUGCAACCCCAUCAGAGACCCUGAGCCGGAGACACUCAGCUAAGUCACUCGGAGGUUCCUAA
rnacentral:lncRNA from 1 species